rnacentral:rRNA from 1 species
UACGGGGGAUCCGAGCGUUAUCCAGAUUUAUUGGGUUUAAAGGGUGCGCAGGCGGAAGAUUAAGUCGGCGGUGAAAUUUUGCAGCUCAACUGUAAAAGUGCCAUCGAUACUGGUUUUCUUGAGUGUGGAUGAAGUAGGCGGAAUUUGUGGUGUAGCGGUGAAAUGCAUAGAUAUCACGAGGAACUCCGAUUGCGCAGGCAGCUUACUAGGCCAUAACUGACGCUCAGGCACGAAGGCGUGGGGAUCAAACAGGAUUAGA